rnacentral:rRNA from 1 species
UACGUAGGGUGCGAGCGUUAAUCGGAAUUACUGGGCGUAAAGCGUGCGCAGGCGGUUAUUUAAGUCAGGUGUGAAAGCCCUGGGCUUAACCUAGGAAUUGCGCUUGAGACUGGAUAGCUUGGAGUGCGGCAGAGGGAGGUGGAAUUCCACGUGUAGCAGUGAAAUGCGUAGAGAUGUGGAGGAACACCGAUUGCGAAGGCAGCUCGCUGGGACGUUACUGACGCUGAGACGCGAAAGCGUGGGGAGCAAACAGG